rnacentral:rRNA from 1 species
GACGAACGCUGGCGGCGUGCUUAACACAUGCAAGUCGAACGGAAAGGCUCCAGCUUGCUGGAGUACUCGAGUGGCGAACGGGUGAGUAACACGUGGGUAAUCUGCCCUGCACUCUGGGAUAAGCCUGGGAAACUGGGUCUAAUACUGGAUAUGACCUUUCUCCUUAUGGGGUUUGGUGGAAAGUUUUUCGGUGUAGGAUGAGCCCGCGGCCUAUCAGCUUGUUGGUGGGGUGAUGGCCUACCAAGGCGACGGCGGGUAGCCGGCCUGAGAGGGUGAUCGGCCACAUUGGGACUGAGAUACGGCCCAGACUCCUACGGGAGGCAGCAGUGGGGAAUAUUGCACAAUGGGCGGAAGCCUGAUGCAGCGACGCCGCGUGAGGGAUGACGGCCUUCGGGUUGUAAACCUCUUUCAGCAGGGACGAAGCGUAAGUGACGGUACCUGCAGAAGAAGCACCGGCUAACUAUGUG